GACGUUAAAAAUAGCGCUUAUUGGGAGGCAACCCAAUCUUGGUUAGUUCGUUUCUUUUCUAUUUUUUUUAGUUGUUUUUGUGCCCCACAAAUCCUUUUUAAACUUAUUCUCCUUAAUGGUGAAUAAGUUUGGGGGGAUGUGUCUUUGUGGGUGCAUUUUUCUUUUUGGUUGUUUUUGUUUGUGUCGUCGUUGAGUUUUCUUAGUCUUGCUUUGGUGGUUUCUUUGUGAUGUUACCUUGAUGAUGAUGUGAGUAGUGUAGAGUUUUGUUGGAUAAUUGGCUUAUGACGAUUUCUGCUUUAAAAUUGUGAAAUUGCAUGCAUUUGUGUUGAUAUUGUUCUGAUUGAGCAUGAUUGAUGAAUGAUAAGCAUGGUCUCUUUUGAUGUUGCAA
rnacentral:lncRNA from 1 species